GCGGGCUUUCUGUGGGCUGAGCUGGUCGCUUUCCACAGCACCUCCACGGGGCUUGUCCACGAGGGCGAGUCCGGCAUCCUUACCUGUGGGAGCAGGGUUCCAGGACAAGCAUCCUAAAAAGAUCCAGAGGAGGCCCGGGGAUUUAGUUCAGCAGUUUCGCCGCCUACUGCGCAAGCCCAAGGACCCGAGUUCGAUCCCUGGUACCAAAAAAACCCCAAGACAAACAAAAAAAGAACCAGAGGAAGCUUCACCACCAUUCUGGCUUAUUUUCAGGCAUCACACAGCAUCAUUCCCCCUCUAGUGACAAGCCCACUUGAAUGGAGGACAGUAGACCCCUCAUCUUAAUGGAUAAGUUGGAGUCAGGGUCAUACUGUAAGAAGUGUAUGGAAGAUAGAUGGUACAGUUGCAGCCAUUCUGUGACAUACAUCCUGCCUCAGGUGACAAGUGACUAGGCCCCGGAUAGGACAUUCAGUCUUAUCCAGCCUUACUACAGGUUUUCUAAAGUGUAUCAGGGAUCAGUAAAACUGGACAGAUGGACCUCAGAUUCGGAGCUGGGUCAGAAAUAUCCUUCUUGCAAAAACACCACAUCAGCCCAUGUGGCAGAACAGCAUCCUGGUGACAAAUGAAGCCAGAUGGGUGCCAUAUCCUGGCCAUGAUGUGUUUCAGAUUUUGUAAGAUGAGAUCACUGUAAAGGGCACAUGAGGUCAGUGUUAUUUUUUAUGAAUCUGCAAUUAUUUGUCUAAAAUUUUCAAUUAGAAAAACGUGACGCCAAGCCACCUGGAUCCACAUCUGCUGCUUGUCCCAGUGUCCCUGGAAAACUCCAGGGGCCCGAGCGUGGGCACUGCUGUGAUGUCAGCAGACAACGCAGCAGACGUUGGCGUGAGUGGACAUCCAGGUCACAGGAGGCCCCAUAGGCACCAUGGACCUCGGCCUGUCUGCAGAGCCCCUCCGUGCAGGUGCUAGCAUGGAGCAUUGGGCAACACAGCUGUGGUAGACAGGAGCACGUGUGUGCUCAGCUGAGGCAGCAGCUGCCCUGCCAGCGGUCAGUCCUUGCUUCCGGCCUCCGCCUGUGCAGAGGGAUGGGUCAUGUGCCAGGACUGAAGUGCGCAGGAGGGUGCUGGCUGCUUCACAGUGGCCCCUUUCCUCUCUGGGAGGGACAUGAGGGCCUGUGCCCGUUUCUCAGAAGAGACACUGAGGCCGGAAGUCAAGCUGGCACCACUCUUUGUAUUCACAGACGGGGGCACUGAGCCACAGCUCACCUCAGAAGCAGCUGGACCAGAAGAUGAACUUGGGCUGUUCGGCGCCUGCCGUGUAAAGAAUGACCAGAAUGGCCCCACCUGCACCUGUACCCCAGCGCAGGACUCUCGGGAGACGGCGGGAGGUGAGCAAGCCAAGCGGGCACAGCUCCCUGGAGGCCACAGAUGCUGAACACAAGUCCUGGGCUGCAGAGACAAGGACGUGGCCGGCAGAGCCGAGGGGAUGCAGCUCUGUGUUCUCCGAACAGGGUGCUAUGAGCCUUGGGAAGGCAUCACCGCCUCUGUUCCAGCAGGCACCUCCAGAAACCCGUCCAUCCAGACAGGGACUGCGUGGCGGGGAGCUCAUCCCUCCCACACUCCGAGCCCAGCCCAGAAACUGGGUGAGCAGGGAGCUUGCACUGUGCACCCAGGACUGAGUUUGUUUUGUGUGUGGGACACACCUGGCACACCCAAGCCCGAAGGUGGCCUCCCACUCACCAGCCAGGAGCCCCAGUGGCCACGCGUACUGGGGAACAGAGCCAAAGUCAGGCGGCCUUUCUCCGGGGUUCUGUGACCCGGCCGGCCAAUGGGAACAAUACCUGGGAGGAAAGAAAACCGGGAAGCACCCAGAAGCCACCUACAUGCCUGAUAAAUGAUGGCAGGGCGGGGCAACCUCACGUGAUCUGG
ensembl:lncRNA